GCAUCUGCGCAAGCCAGAAAUAGCACAGAGAGAGAAUGGGAAGAUGCAGUUCUCAGACACUCUUCAGGCAAAUGGUUGGAGUCAGUGCCGGGGAACCCAGAGCAAGUCAUGCUUCAAUUCAACGAAUAUUUAUUAGGUAGCCGCUUCGUGCCAGACACUGUGAUAAGUGGGGACAGUCCAGACAGGUAUGCAAGAGAGUUUCCAUCACUGAUACUAGUUAUGCAAACUGGUGGCACUAUGUAAAAAGGUUCCUUUUUCUUUUCCACAAUGACCUAAAGAAUGCUUCUCCUGGGUGCCAUGCAGGGAGGCUCGGAGCUGACUCCAGGAUCUGAACUGGAGGUGCUUUAAAACAACAACAGUCCAGCUCAUGGUUUUAAAGAACAAAAGUAAGUUUCUCAAGGAGUAUAUUGCUGACCUAAUACAGACAAUGGAAACUUUUAAAAACUGAAGCUUGAAUUACACAACAAAUGACAAAAAGAGACACAUAAAGAAAAAGCUGCUGUAAUCUCUAGCUACAUCUCCAAGGCUGAGAAUAUACCUGUGCAUUGAUAAGUGUUUAAUAUCCAGAACAUACUCUUUUUCUUUUAAAUUCCGUCUUAUCUUCAGAAAUGUUAGAUUUUAAAAUUAAUUAAUAAAUGGAUAUAUAUAUAUAUAUUUUUUUUCAUGUGUGAAUACUCUGAGCCUAGCACAGUCAUUAGUAUAGCCCUUGAUUGACACUUGUCUUUAAUCUAGUGAAUUCCUCUAAGGAGCUUAUGGUUUGGAAGGAUUACAAGUUACACAUACACACGAUCCCUGGAAAAUAACUACUAAGCCAUAGCUGAACUAUACAAAGACAUGGACUCCCUGCUAAAUAAAAGGAUGAUUUGCAAAGGAAAUGAAUGUUUAAAUGGUAACUAUAGAUUCUCUCCACUAAUAGUAUGACUAGGUUAUUUCUAUGUGCACAGAAUGCCCUCUGAUUUUG